rnacentral:sRNA from 1 species
UCCUAGCCCCGAUAGAGGCGGUAUCCUUUUUGGGUGAUUUUUCUUCACCCGAAAAGAUAAAGCCGAAAGCGGGAUUAGCU